AGAGACAUAGACACACACAUGCACACACAGAUAGUGUUUUCCCCUCCUGUUCUUUGGCAGAGGGCCUCAUCCUUCCCACUGUGCUUUCCUGACCCUCUAGUCUGCAGGCCCAUCCGUGACAGUUUCUAGAGACAGCCUCGUGGUCACUUUUGGCCACGUGGGACUGCACCGUGUGGCUGGAUCACCGUGCAGUCAGGCCCUGCUGUUUCUAGUCUCGUUUCUACAGACGGCGCUGCAAUGAACAGCUUCUGAUGAGGCCCUUGUUUAGGGCCAAGCCUGGCCUCAUCGUGUCCAGUGGGACAAAUUAUUGUCCACGACCCAGGGACAGUGUCCUCCCUUGGGGCCUCUGACUCAGUGGCCCAGAGCUGAUCGGUCUGGAAUCCCCUCCUGUUUUCCUGACGUGUCCCAUCCUGGACACUUCUCAUUCACGCCUCCCGGCAGCUCCCAGACCUCCCCUGGCUUGGCGCAAACGUGGAAUUCUGCCGAGCUGAGAAGAGGAACCUGCCUCCAGGGAGCCCUCGAGAGGCACUGCCAUCUCCCAAGGAAGCGUUUCCUGCAGAUGUUGGAGCCUGUGGGCCGCGGAGAUAGGGGCCGGUGGGCAGGACCGUGGACAGCGACGCCCGGGUCCCUGUGCUGCGCCGGGAAUUGAGUCAGCAGGUGGCGCCCAUCCCCGCCGCGGGCGACCGGGCAUAUCAUUCAUUCAUGUCACAGGCGGGCGGCUGGAUGACUGAGCCAGCUGCGGGAGAGGUGGUCUGACCUCGUGGAGCGUGAUCUGACUCGAGUGGUUGGGACAGAGACAGACAGACACAGGCGAUCACCCUCUUGGCAGGAUCACUAGACGUCAGAUGCCGAGGUUGCUGGUGCCGCUUGGUGGUGGCAGUGCCGUCUGAGUGCAGCUCCUUGUGGACGGGCUCGUGUCUGCCGCGGGUGACCCCCUCCCCCCGGCAGAGGGAGAGACGGAGCCGCGAGGAGGCCGGCACCCCGCUUGGGUCCAGGGCGCCGGCCAGGGUCCCCUUGACCCACCUGAGCGAGAGCCCGUCAGCCCAGCGGUGUCCUCCUCCCUGGUCGUCCCUCGGCCGGGACGAGCCGUCGUCUCAGGUUGACCGUGAGGCCGGCUGGUCCACCAGGUGCCCCUGUGGCCCUGCCACGUGCGGCAGGACGAGUGACCUCGGGUGCGACCUCGGGUGCGGCCCCGUGUGCGAGUGAGGCGGUGCAGCCUCAGGCCGCUGUGCCACCUUCAAGCAGGGCUCCCUGAGCCACGGCCACCCCUCUGCUUUCAGGACCAAGCGCCCAGUGGCCGCCCGGAGCGUUGUCUGCCUCUCAAGCAGCCCCCGGCCUCUGGGUGGAAGGGCAGGGCUGCCGGGGAGCAGACACAGGCCCGCAGGUGGGUCCUGGAGCAAGGCCCAGGCCAGGAGGACCCCACACGACCCCCAGCCCACUCCACACAGGCCAGUUCCCCUGCUGCCCAGGGCAGGGGACGGUGCCCCUGGCACAGUCCUGGGCAGAGUGUUCCAGAGCCAAGUGUCUUUCAGCUCUUCUCUUUCUACGCCUUUUUCAUACCCUUUCAGUGCUCAAAGAUUAACCUUAGAACUCAGCACGUUUAAAAGCUUGCUAUUCUCCAUCUAGACGCACCUCCUCAUCCAGAACCUUCCACAUCCUCGAGCCAGCAGGAGAGCUCAUUGUCUAGAAGAUGGAAACUCGCCCUGACUCAGCUCUGCUCCAUCUUUUCUGUGGACACUUCACUAAAGUGCGCUUACAGUCUUCUGACUCCUUGAAGGGGCUUCCCAAGUGGCUAAGGGGGCCAAGAGUCUGCCUGCAAUGCGGGAGGCACAGGAGACUCAGACUGGAUCCCCGAGAGGGCAGGACCCCCUGGAGGAGGCCGUGGCGGCCCACUGCAGUACUCUUGCCUGGAGAAUCUCACGGACAGAAGAACCUGGUGGGCUGCCAUCCACGGAGUGGCAGAGAGUCAGACACAACUGAAGCGACCAAGCACACACGCCUUCUUGAAAGAACAUCGACUUUCUUGUUUCCGAUUGUGAUUGUGGCCCAUUGUGGUUCAUUGUAGAAGCUUAUGGAAACAUAAAAAAGAGUAAGAGCAGGAAAUAAAAACCGUUCCAAAU